UACGUAGGUGGCAAGCGUUGUCCGGAAUUAUUGGGCGUAAAGCGCGCGCAGGCGGUCCUUUAAGUCUGAUGUGAAAGCCCACGGCUCAACCGUGGAGGGUCAUUGGAAACUGGGGGACUUGAGUGCAGGAGAGAAGAGUGGAAUUCCACGUGUAGCGGUGAAAUGCGUAGAUAUUGGGAGGAACACCAGUGGCGAAGGCGGCUACCUGGACCGGAACUGACGCUGAUGCGCGAAAGCGUGGGUAGCAAACAGG
rnacentral:rRNA from 1 species